AAUAUUUGACAAUGGGCGAAAGCCUGAUCCAGCCAUGCCGCGUGUGUGAAGAAGGUCUNCGGAUUNUNAAGCACUUUAAGUUGGGNGGAAGGGCAGUAAGCUAAUACCUUGCUGUUUUGACGUUACCGACAGAAUAAGCACCGGCUAACUUCGUGCCAGCAGCCGCGGUAAUACGAAGGGUGCAAGCGUUAAUCGGAAUUACCGGGCGUAAAGCGCGCGUAGGUGGUUUGAUAAGUUGGAUGUGAAAGCCCCGGGCUCAACCUGGGAAUUGCUUUCAAAACUGACGAGCUAGAGUACGGUAGAGGGUAGUGGAAUUUCCUGUGUAGCGGUGAAAUGCGUAGAUAUAGGAAGGAACACCAGUGGCGAAGGCGACCACCUGGGCUAAUACUGACACUGAGGUGCGAAAGCGUGGGGAGCAAACAGG
rnacentral:rRNA from 1 species